GAUGAACGCUAGCGGCAGGCCUAAUACAUGCAAGUCGAACGAUACCAAUGGGCUUGCUCAUUGGGAAAGUGGCGCACGGGUGCGUAACGCGUAUGCAACCUACCUUAAUCAGGGGGAUAGCCCGAAGAAAUUCGGAUUAACACCGCAUAAAAACACAGUACAGCAUUGUACAAUGUUCAAAUAUUUAUAGGAUUAAGAUG
rnacentral:rRNA from 1 species